rnacentral:lncRNA from 1 species
GCUCUACUUGAACCAGAUGAAUCAUGACUUGGAGAGCCCAAGUUCUUUAAGACUCUUUCUCCAUAAAUCAUGUCAAAAGGAAAAGUGAGGUGUUGUUUUUCUCAUCCUUCUUUCUUCACGCGUCUGAAAGAAGAGGGGGCGCCAAUAAUUGGUGCUCCACCUUAUCUGGAAGUCUUUUUCAUUCAAAUUUUUUUUAUUUAAAUUUAAUUUAAAAUAACAUAAAAAUUUGUUAGAUUGGGAUAUGGAAGUUUUUUUUUGUGUGACAAAAAAAUUGGGGAAAGGUGGGACGUGCGCUUAUGGUGAGAAGAGAUUUCUUUCUUGCAAUGCAACCUCAUCUCCAUACCUUUCCAAUUCUUGAUUUAAUUUCAACACCUUAGAUGAGAUCUCUUGGGUGUGAUGGAGAGGGUGUGCAUGGAGUAAGAUGAGGAGUGCGACAAAAAAUUUAAAAAAAAGGGGCGUGAAGAGUUUGUGACGUUAAAAAAGAUGUGAGGCGCUACUUCUUUCUUUCUUACACACCCCAACGCCCAACUUCCUUCUCCUUUCUUCCAUUAUGUCCAUGCCC